rnacentral:rRNA from 1 species
UACGUAGGGUGCGAGCGUUAAUCGGAAUUAUUGGGCGUAAAGCGUGCGCAGGCGGCCGAGCAAGUCGAGUGUGAAAGCCCCGAGCUUAACUUGGGAACUGCGCUCGAAACUACUUGGCUAGAGUGUGGCAGAGGGAGGUGGAAUUCCACGUGUAGCGGUGAAAUGCGUAGAGAUGUGGAGGAACACCGGUGGCGAAGGCGGCCUCCUGGGACGACACUGACGCUCAUGCGCGAAAGCGUGGGGAGCAAACAGG